rnacentral:lncRNA from 11 species
UUAUCUCUAUAUUGCUGCCACGCAUCAGCCCACACAGAGCUCUACGGAUCUUCCAAGUCAUCAAAGAAAAUUCUGAGAAUGUUCUGGUUCAUACAUCCCAGAUGUCAGCUUGCUGUCAAUCCAAGCACAGAAGGAGACAAUGACUCAUGGUGGACUGAACGGAGGCAGUGAGAAGCUACUGUCAGAAAUGAGGAGAGUUGCCCUUGUUACAUUCCAGGACAAGCUUGAAGGCUGCAGCAAAGGAAAUAAGAGCCACCUCAAAUAAGACAAGCAUCAUGUUCCAAACCUCUCUCACAUACAGCUGACUGAAACGGUGAGC